UUACAUGAUCCACUUUAUUUUGUUGUCUAAUAAAUAUAAAAUAUGAUAAGUUCAGAUCUAGGAGCUUUACCAAUUGCUCCGAAUUUUCAGAAUAUACCAAUUGCUGAGAGUACUUUACCGAGUAGGGAGCUUUCAGGCGAUGACCUACCGAGUCGGCCAUCACUCGACAUCCGACGAUUCAACUACAGGCCGGCUGAUGAGAUGGACCAUUGGCGAACAGCAAGGGAUCCCGUCUCCAGGUAGAGAAAAUGGGUUCAGGGGAAUGGAUGGUUGUGCGAUUCUGAAGAGUCUCAACUCAGGAACAAUGUGAGGCAAGAGCUCCUGCACGGGCUUGCGAUUCAGGUGGCCGAGAGGAUGCCAAAACACGGGCUUGCGAUUCAGGUGGCCGAGAGGAUGCCAAAACACGGGCUUGCGGAGCUCUUCACAGAUGUUUAUGAUCAAAUCCCUUCCAAUCUUCGCCAGCAAGGGCGGUCGCUGCUGGAUACCAUCAAAAGGCGCCCUGCAGAGUAUCCGGCUGAUGUGCCUGUUUAGUAGCCUUAGCUCUGCAAUGUUGUUGGAGUCUGUAAGUACCCAUGAAUAAUGCAUUUAGCUAGUACCAUGAGAGUUAAUAUUGAUUAUAGCUUGAAUUGUAUGUAACUAGAAAAGGAGGAAUAAACUGCUCAUCCAAAAAAAUUCUGAAAGAAAUAAUACAAGAGAUUGGCUGUUGCUUACACAAAGAAUAGUUGUUGCCGACAUUUAUGUUGAACAAAGCCAUGCUAAGAUAUUUAACUGCAGGCAAAGGUCUCUUUUAUUUAGUUUCUUUCAUGACAUGGCUGCCACAACUCCUUAGAUGUACAAAUGCGGCACAACAAGGAUUGCAUUUGUCCAAACAAAAA